AGAACCUUACCAAGGUUUGACAUGCAGGGAAAAGCCGUAGAGAUACGGUGUCCGUAAGGGUCCUGCACAGGUGGUGCAUGGCUGUCGUCAGCUCGUGUCGUGAGAUGUUGGGUUAAGUCCCGCAACGAGCGCAACCCUCGUCCUAUGUUGCCAGCGGGUAAUGCCGGGGACUCAUAGGAGACUGCCGGGGUCAACUCGGAGGAAGGUGGGGAUGACGUCAAGUCCUCAUGCCCCUUAUGUCUUGGGCUGCAAACAUGCUACAAUGGCCGGUACAAAGGGUUGCAAGACCGCAAGGUGGAGCGAAUCCCAAAAAGCCGGUCUCAGUUCGGAUUGGGGUCUGCAACUCGACCCCAUGAAGUUGGAGUCGCUAGUAAUCGCAGAUCAGCAACGCUGCGGUGAAUACGUUCCCGGGCCUUGUCACACCGA
rnacentral:rRNA from 1 species